rnacentral:rRNA from 1 species
AAGCAUGGGGACCUGAUGCAGCCAUGCCGCGUGUGUGAAGAAGGCCUUCGGGUUGUAAAGCACUUUCAGCGAGGAGGAAAGGUUGGCGCCUAAUACGUGUCAACUGUGACGUUACUCGCAGAAGAAGCACCGGCUAACUCCGUGCCAGCAGCCGCGGUAAUACGA